rfam:Triticum aestivum genome assembly, contig: Triticum_aestivum_CS42_TGACv1_scaffold_132186_2BL
UAAAUACUCCCUCCAUCCAAAAAUACUUGUCAUCAAAAUGGAUAAAAAGAGAUGUAUCUAAAACUAAAAUGCGUGUAGACACAUUUCCUUUGAUCCAUUUUGAUGACAAGUAUUUUCGGACGGAGGGAGUAUUUG